CCUACGGGCGGCAGCAGUGGGGAAUAUUGCACAAUGGGGGAAACCCUGAUGCAGCGACGCCGCGUGAGUGAAGGAGUAUUUCGGUACGUAAAGCUCUAUCAGCAGGGAAGAAAAUGACGGUACCUGACUAAGAAGCCCCGGCUAACUACUGGCCAGCAGCCGCGGUAAUACGUAGGGGGCAAGCGUUAUCCGGAUUUCCUGGGUGGAAAGGGUGCGUAGACGGCAGCGCAAGUCUGGAGUGAAAGCCCAUGGCUUAACCAUGGAACUGCUUUGGAAACUGUGCAGCUAGAGUGCAGGAGAGGAAAGCGGAAUUCCUAGUGUAGCGGUGAAAUGCGUAGAUAUUAGGAGGAACACCAGUGGCGAAGGCGGCUUACUGGACUGUAACUGACGUUGAGGCUCGAAAGCGUGGGGAGCAAACAGGAUUAGAUACCCCAGUAGUC
rnacentral:rRNA from 1 species